rnacentral:rRNA from 1 species
AUACGGAGGUUGCAAGCGUUAAUCGGAAUUACUGGGCGUAAAGCGCGCGUAGGCGGCUUUGUAAGUCGGAUGUGAAAGCCCCGGGCUCAACCUGGGAAUUGCAUUCGAUACUGCAGAGCUAGAGUAUGGUAGAGGGAAGUGGAAUUUCCGGUGUAGCGGUGAAAUGCGUAGAUAUCGGAAGGAACACCAGUGGCGAAGGCGACUUCCUGGGCCAAUACUGACGCUGAGGUGCGAAAGCGUGGGGAGCAAACAGGAUUAGAAACCCCGGUAGUCC